UAUGUGUUGAUUGCUGAAUUUGCCACAGCUCAUCAACUGGAUAUGAAGUGUUUGGACUAACAAGGCCACAUAUCAGUCUACAUGUAGAUCUGUUUGCCAUAGCUAUUGAGUCCCAGUUACUGGUGUUGAUUGCUGAAUUUGCCGCAGCUCAUCAACUGGAUAUGAAGGGUUUGGACUAACAAGGCCACAUAUCAGUCUACAUGUAGAUCUGUUUGCCAUAGCUAUUGAGUCCCAGUUACUGGUGUUGAUUGCUGAAUUUGCC